rnacentral:rRNA from 2 species
GGAUGCGAUCAUACCAGCACUAAAGCACCGGAUCCCAUCAGAACUCCGAAGUUAAGCGUGCUUGGGCGAGAGUAGUACUAGGAUGGGUGACCUCUUGGGAAGUCCUCAUGUUGCAUUCC